rnacentral:tRNA from 1 species
AUUACUUUUUACUUGUUUGUGAGGUUUGAAAAAAAGUUAGACAAGUUGGAAAACGUCAUCAUGAAACUAUCUAGU